rnacentral:rRNA from 1 species
UACGUAGGGGGCAAGCGUUGUCCGGAUUUAUUGGGCGUAAAGAGCGUGUAGGCGGCCAGGUAGGUCAGCUGUGAAAACUCGAGGCUCAACCUCGAGACGCCGGUUGAAACCAUCUGGCUAGAGUCCGGAAGAGGAGAGUGGAAUUCCUGGUGUAGCGGUGAAAUGCGCAGAUAUCCGGAGGAAGACCGGUGGCGAAGGCGGUCUGCUGGGCAGUUUCUGACACUGAGGCGCGACAGCGUGGGGAGCAAACAGG